UGCAGGAGUGGGUUCAAGUGGGGUUGGACUUUACUCCAUGUUGAGGGAGGUAAGGGGAUUUGGGGCAGGUGCCUUUGAUUUGCAUGGCUUGGAUCUGUUCCCAGAUCAGGGCCAGGUGCUCUAAGAAACCGCCAGUAUCCAAACCCUUAUGAGCAGGCACUGGCAGCUAGGCGGGGCAAAGAGCCAGGAGCUACCCCAGAGUGGAAGGUGUCGGAGUGGCAGGCUUCAGUGGACUCCUGCAGAGGGGGUGCUGGUCCAAUGAUAUGACAGCAUCAAACAUUACCAUACAGUUCUCACUCUCCUUGGAAUUUCAUGAUGUCCUAAUCCUCACCCUGUUUGCCCAAAGGACACCUUCAAGAGUGAAUGACGUGGGGAGGAAUCAGAGUUAGGAGAAUUUCAAAGAGGAGGUCAAACUGGAUUGUUGGUUUUGCUUGCUUGGGUUCCACUUGUGGGCCAGUCUGGAACAGGGAAGCAAUCAGGCAUGAAGAUGGAAAGACCUGGGGAACUACUUAAGCAUCUUAAACAGCUCCACUGCCUGCUCCAGGCAACAGCUCCAAGAAGUCAAACCAGCUGUUCCUAAUACUUUCAGCAAUUGUACAGCAG